UACGUAGGGGGCUAGCGUUGUCCGGAAUCAUUGGGCGUAAAGAGCGUGUAGGCGGCCCGGUAAGUCCGCUGUGAAAGUCGGGGGCUCAACCCUCGAAUGCCGGUGGAUACUGUCGGGCUUGAGUACGGAAGAGCGAGUGGAAUUCCUGGUGUAGCGGUGAAAUGCGCAGAUAUCAGGAGGAACACCAAUGCGAAGGCAGCUCGCUGGGA
rnacentral:rRNA from 1 species